CGCACGCACACAGUGUUUGCCCGUAGGCUUUGCGCUUUGCUUUAUACGCUUCCUCAGCACCAACUUCCUGGCCCGGCACAAAUGGAAAUGCUCCUUCCUGUGGCCUGUUGACCCCCCCAGGUCCAGCCUCCCAGGCUGACAAAGCAGACACUCCAACCCCAGCGCAGCCUGAAGCUGUCAGUCGUGCACACAAGGAGCCGAAGCUGCUGGAGCAGGAAGCGAGGCGGCGGGGCUGGCAUUGUCCGCCUCCUCCCAGGCAGGGGCAGCCUGUGGAGGUUCCUUGACCCCGGUGGCCCCGGGCUGACCCCCUGCCAGAGGAGAGGAGCCCGACUGCCAAGAAUGCAGUGGAAUCCCGCUGAGGCUGGAGCCACGGCCCGAGAAAAUGUGCGGAAUGCCAUUUGUUCAGACACACUGGCCUUUGCACAGAAAAGCUCUUUGGGCUUCAAAAAAGCAAUUACAAAAUCUCCCCGUCGAAGUUCAGCAGAAACACAGCAGCAGGACGGCUCGCGUGGCCCAUGGAGCCAUUCCCAGAGAACACUGUGCUGAAGGAAUGCCUUCCCCAGAUCUCCUCUUACCAUCUUUUCUUGAGUAUCGUUUUAUAAACAUGACGAUAAAUUCAAAAAUAUAAUUGUUACCAUGACCAGA